GAGAGAUAUAACAUUCAAAUACUAUUGAUUUUUCUAAUUCCUCCAAGAGGCCCAUGGCCCAAUUGCUAUUAGAUCCACUAUGGAAAAACCCUAGCUAUAUAUUUGUAAUGCUGCCUCUCUUUGAGGAUAAUGAAUCGACUUGUAAUUUAUUUUCUUAGUUUUAAAAUUCUGUCUUUAGUCUUUACUCUUUAGCAUAACCCUAGUUUGUUACCAUAGCUGAAGAACAAGCCAACACUUUCAUUCAGUUAAACACAAUCUACAUCCUCCACCAUGUUCAUUGAAUUAAAUUGUCCUGCUAGUGUGAUAAAGCAACCGGGAAAACUGUUUGCUGAAGCUCACAAAAACUGUGCCUACUGAGUGAGCCUGAAAUUGUGCCUUUGAUUGAAGCAUGCAUUGCAAAAGAUGGUGUAAAUUGUAAAAUAUGCUGAUCAUCAAUGGUAAGAUGUAUAGAUAUAUGUGAAAUUGAUUAAUGGAUUUAUAACAUGUUUGGAACUUUCGAUUGAUUUAUUUGAGUUUUGAUAUAGACAAAAGCAUUUGUGAGACUAUUUGAGAGAGGUUAUGGAAGCAAACUUAUUUGAGUUUAUAUACAUUACUGACAUAACACAUAAGCACUUGUGAGAUUAUUUGAGAGAGGUUAUGAAAAUAACUUAUGAUUGACUUAUUUGAGUUUAUACUUUAUAUAAACUACUGAAACAAGUACUGGUGAGAUUAUUUGAGAGGUUAUGGAAGCUUAUGACUUUGAUAAGCUCUCCUGAAUAGCCUAUGAAAACAUGUUGUAUGUUCAGAUAUGUGGAGCGGAUUUAGGGUAUGUGUGGAUUGACUUAUUUGAGUUUAUCAAUUAACAUAAGCACUUGCGAGACUAUUUGAGAGAGGUUAUGGCAAUAAACUACGACUUUUAUAAGCGCUACAAGAUUAGUUUAUGAUAACAACUUAUGGCUUAUGAGAACAAUAUGGUUUUGUAUUAUUAUAUUUUCCAAUUCUGCAAUAAAAAUAAGUUAUACAUAAGUGCUUAAUUAAGUUGUUUAUCCAAUUAGCCACUUAGGGUUAUUUAUCCCCUACUUUGAAUGAUUCUUUUGAAAUCCUUUUUAUUAAUUACUGAUUUUGGAUUUGGCAUUACAUUUUGUUUGUUAUCUGGCUAAAUUAGUAUUUUGGCCAUUAAUUAAUUUGUUGGUUUCAUUUUAGUCUCAUAAUUAUUUGUUGUUACUUUUAGGUCCCUUAACUUUGUUUCCGUUGAUGUCCAUGCCUCAAUUUUAGUGUGGUACAAAAUAAGUCUAUCAUGAACUUCUGUACUGAAUGUUUGUAUUUUUUUUCUUCUAAU